UAGGGAAUCUUCGGCNAUGGACGGAAGCCUGACCGAGCAACGCCGCGUGAGUGAAGAAGAUUUUCGGAUCGUAAAGCUCUGUUGUAAGAGAAGAACGAGUGUGAGAGUGGAAAGUUCACACUGUGACGGUAUCUUACCAGAAAGGGACGGCUAACUACGUGCCAGCAGCCGCGGUAAUACGUAGGUCCCGAGCGUUGUCCGGAUUUAUUGGGCGUAAAGCGAGCGCAGGCGGUUAGAUAAGUCUGAAGUUAAAGGCUGUGGCUUAACCAUAGUACGCUUUGGAAACUGUUUAACUUGAGUGCAAGAGGGGAGAGUGGAAUUCCAUGUGUAGCGGUGAAAUGCGUAGAUAUAUGGAGGAACACCGGUGGCGAAAGCGGCUCUCUGGCUUGUAACUGACGCUGAGGCUCGAAAGCGUGGGGAGCAAACAGGAUUAGAUACCCUGGUAGUCCACGCCGUAAACGAUGAGUGCUAGGUGUUAGACCCUUUCCGGGGUUUAGUGCCGCAGCUAACGCAUUAAGCACUCCGCCUGGGGAGUACGACCGCAAGGUUG
rnacentral:rRNA from 1 species